rnacentral:rRNA from 2 species
UGCAGUCGAACGCGUUGGCCCAAUUGAUUGAUGGUGCUUGCACCUGAUUGAUUUUGGUCGCCAACGAGUGGCGGACGGGUGAGUAACACGUAGGUAACCUGCCCAGAAGCGGGGGACAACAUUUGGAAACAGAUGCUAAUACCGCAUAACAACGUUGUUCGCAUGAACAACGCUUAAAAGAUGGCUUCUCGCUAUCACUUCUGGAUGGACCUGCGGUGCAUUAGCUUGUUGGUGGGGUAACGGCCUACCAAGGCGAUGAUGCAUAGCCGAGUUGAGAGACUGAUCGGCCACAAUGGGACUGAGACACGGCCCAUACUCCUACGGGAGGCAGCAGUAGGGAAUCUUCCACAAUGGGCGCAAGCCUGAUGGAGCAACACCGCGUGAGUGAAGAAGGGUUUCGGCUCGUAAAGCUCUGUUGUUAAAGAAGAACACGUAUGAGAGUAACUGUUCAUACGUUGACGGUAUUUAACCAGAAAGUCACGGCUAACUACGUGCCAGCAGCCGCGGUAAUACGUAGGUGGCAAGCGUUAUCCGGAUUUAUUGGGCGUAAAGAGAGUGCAGGCGGUUUUCUAAGUCUGAUGUGAAAGCCUUCGGCUUAACCGGAGAAGUGCAUCGGAAACUGGAUAACUUGAGUGCAGAAGAGGGUAGUGGAACUCCAUGUGUAGCGGUGGAAUGCGUAGAUAUAUGGAAGAACA